AUUGAACGCUAGCGGGAUGCUUUACACAUGCAAGUCGAACGGCAGCGCGGACUUCGGUCUGGCGGCGAGUGGCGAACGGGUGAGUAAUGUAUCGGAACGUGCCCAGUAGCGGGGGAUAACUACGCGAAAGCGUAGCUAAUACCGCAUACGCCCUACGGGGGAAAGCAGGGAAUCGUAAGACCUUGCACUAUUGGAGCGGCCGAUAUCGGAUUAGCUAGUUGGUGAGGUAACGGCUCACCAAGGCGACGAUCCGUAGCUGGUUUGAGAGGACGACCAGCCACACUGGGACUGAGACACGGCCCAGACUCCUACGGGAGGCAGCAGUGGGGAAUUUUGGACAAUGGGGGCAACCCUGAUCCAGCCAUCCCGCGUGUGCGAUGAAGGCCUUCGGGUUGUAAAGCACUUUUGGCAGGAAAGAAACGUCGCGGGCUAAUACCCCGUGGAACUGACGGUACCUGCAGAAUAAGCACCGGCUAACUACGUG
rnacentral:rRNA from 1 species